rnacentral:lncRNA from 1 species
CAGCUGUUCUCAGUUUGGAUUUCUCACCGUGUUCCCCGGGAACAAGACCCACAAUGCUGUGUGCAUCCCGGAGCCACUGCCCACUGAGCAAUAUGGCCAUUUGACUGUCAUCUUCCUGGUCAUGGCUGCAUGCAUUCUCUUCUUAACCACAGUCCAGCUCGGCCUGCACAUAUGGCAGCUGAGGAGGCAACACACGUGUCCCCGAGGUCAAUACCCAGCCGCUCCUGGAGGUGCAGUUACCACCAGCUGAGGAUGCUUGCAGCUUCCAGUUUCCUGAGGAGGAACGUGGGGAGCAGAUGGAAGAAAAGUGUCGUCUGGGGGACCGGUGGCCAUGAGGCCUGUUCUUCCUCUGUGCCCCAAGUCAGACUCUACAAGACUUGCCCAGAAAUACCCUUGGUGAGAGCAGGGGCUAUGCUCUGCGUCCUUCCCUGGGCCUGGCCCCACUCCCCUGGACAAUGGCGGAAGUGGGUGUGAGACGGUAGUGGUGAGUUACAACUGAGCCCUGUGGCUGCCUUUCUCAUUUGCCAGCUCUGUGGAGCAGGGUCUUUGGGCCCUCCAAGAACACCAAGUUUAGCACAAGAUCUUAUACAAGUGGUUUUCAAUAAAUACUUGUCUAGU